GUUAACUUAGUGAAAAACUUACACGUCGGACUUUCAAGCCGAAAACACUAAUCAACAGUAGUUAACC
rnacentral:tRNA from 1 species